UCUCCUACCCCCACCAACUCGGCCAUCUUCCCCUUCAUUCUUUCUCUCUCUUCCAUUUGUUUCCCCACUGCUCCAUCCAUCUCCACCGCCACCCAUGGAUUCCUCGCCGCGCCACCUCCUCCGCAUCUCUUCCCCGAGACAUCUGAUGAUGCCGUGCCACAACCAGUUGUCCUGAGAUCAUGAUGCAACCAUUGUGCAGCUAAGUUUUGGAGACCGUCUGAGGGCACUCCUUGUACUUGAUAUGGUAUGAUUUUCCUAUGCUGAGAAUGCAUUUUUGCUUGGUCUGGUCCUGAUUUUGAAAUGUUUUGCUUUUGUGAUUUAUGAGUUUUGUUGUAUCAGAAAACUAUUUUGUGCUGGCAUUUAGUGUUUGCAGAUGAAGGCACUCAAGGAUCUAGUAGACCUUGAUGUGGCGAAAGCCGAAAGGAAGUGUGGCAACUGAUUCAGCUGUCACA
rnacentral:lncRNA from 1 species